GUUGUAAGUCGGUGGAGGCCAUUAUAAAUUGAAGGAGUAGUACAUUGAGUGAAUACACAGAAUAGAAGAGAAAAUUAGAGAGAGAGGAAGGGAGUGAGCUGAGAGAAGACAGAGAGUUGUGAGAGACAGUGAAUCGAGAGUUGCAGAAGAGGCCGAAAGUUUGGAGACUUGAUGAUCCAGUGAAAAAUUACUCUUUUUUAGAGUAAGGUUCUCUAUACCUUGAAUGUUUCAGGUACCGAAGAUGAACGGAAAUUGUUAGAUUCGGGCUCAGACUGAAGAGUCGGCAUUACAUGAUUUAUUUUAUUUAUUUGGAUAUUUUUGUAUAUAUUUGAGGAAAUUGAUGUUGUAUAAAAGUGAACAUUUUUUUUUAUGAUUCUGAGUGUAUUUUGAUAUAUUUUGUAUUGAAUAAACUGAGGAUUUUUCUUAGAA